ensembl:lncRNA
GAUGAAGUUCACAACAAUAAAAGAAUUGGCAGGAAUGGAAAGGCUUGCUGCUUGUAUUUCUAUGGGAGCUGAACUAUUUAAGGAAUAGUGAAACCGAGUGGAUCAGUUCUGAUCAUCCUGCUGGGUGGAUGUGUGAUCGUGAUCCUGUUUCUAUAAGCGAUUGUAAAUAUGCAAUUAGCAGCUGGAGUAGAAGUAAAAGCAGAAAAUGUCAACUGUCAAGUAGCUCCACUGAAAGACACAUGAUGCUUCAAGCUAAGACAGAAAGACAAAAGCGUCUACCAACAAGGAUGAAGGCUGCAAAAUCUCUCUUUAAACAUUCCAUUAAUCUCUUCCAAGAAAUAAAUACAGUCAAUACAUCCAGGAAUGAGGAAUCCACUAUCAAAACUGCAGUUCACU